AAGGCUUAGUUGAGUUGAGUUGUAGAAAAAAUCUAGGGUGGUCCCUAAUAAGCUCUUCCAUUGCCUUGAAAAGCUCAAAUCUUCAACAGGCCACCUUGAAUGUUUGGCCGAGUUUGCUAUUUAACACAUUUGCCCUCUGUUUUUAUUAUGUGUUAAGGCAGUUUGCUAUGCAUUUGCUUUCAUAAAAUGCUUGAGGGGGAGAAAAUUUUUAUAGAUAUGGCUGCCUGGUUGUGAUUUGCUAGUAGAAGUAAUGGUAGGAUGUACUAGAGGGGCCAUGCCACCAUGGUCUCCUUACUUUCAGCUACUUAAGCAAUAUUUUGGGCAUAAAAAGUCACCAUUGCUGAUAGUAUUGUAUUCUGCGAUCUCAAGCAUUUAGCAGAUAUGAUCAUGCUUACUUUAUUCUGGUUAUUAAAAGCAUGAAACUAGUUACGAAUACUAAAUAUUUAAUCAAUCAACACUUACAAAUGAAGACUAAAACUUUUUUUUUUUUUUU
rnacentral:misc_RNA from 1 species